GAUGAACGCUGGCGGCGUGCCUAAUACAUGCAAGUCGAGCGAACGGACGAGAAUCUUGCUUCUCUGAUGUUAGCGGCGGACGGGUGAGUAACACGUGGAUAACCUACCUAUAAGACUGGGAUAACUUCGGGAAACCGUAGCUAAUACCGGAUAAUAUUUUGAACCGCAUGGUUCAAAAGUGAAAGACGGUCUUGCUGUCACUUAUAGAUGUAUCCGCGCUGCAUUAGCUAGUUGGUAAGGUAACGGCUUACCAAGGCAACGAUGCAUAGCCGACCUGAGAGGGUGAUCGGCCACACUGGAACUGAGACACGGUCCAGACUCCUACGGGAGGCAGCAGUAGGGAAUCUUCCGCAAUGGGCGGAAGCCUGACGGAGCGACGCCGCGUGAGUGAUGAAGGUCUUCGGAUCGUAAAACUCUGUUAUUAGGGAAGAACAUAUGUGUAAGUAACUGUGCACAUCUUGACGGUACCUAAUCAGAAAGCCACGGCUAACUACGUG
rnacentral:rRNA from 1 species